AUUUUCACAAACCAUUGCUUCUAACAUUCAUUAUUUACAGAGAUGUCACACUUUAAGGUAUGAAUAUAUAUGCCUUACAGGGUGAUCUUCUGCAACUAAACUCAGAUGAAGAAACAUCAUAUUUAAACCAAUCAAACAGCCAUGAAAAAUGUCAAACAAUUACAACAUUGUAAAUAAGGCAGAAACUUCAAAGAGCUGUUUUAAAAUCCAAAAUAGGUAUAAAAAUUAGAUCUUUGAGGCAAAACUGAUGCCCUCCUGUGCCAAUUGAUCCAAGGUAGCAGGGGGUUGAACCUUUGCAACCUUAGCAAUUGCCUUGUUCUCUUCAGGUGACCCACUCUCGAGGAAUGCACCAACGAUCUUUCCAUCUUUGAUCCAGUAUUGUCCAAACUUGUGAGUUGCAGAGUUGGGAUCAGCGUCCCCAAAGAGCACUGUUUCACCCACAUUAUCACCGUAGAAUUGCCAAGACAAAUCGAAGGCACGGGAAUAGAAGUAUGGAAGGUAGUCAUAUUCAUCGACAGACUUCCCUUGCUCACUGGCAAAUAUUGCCUUGACAGCCUGCUCAGCAGAUUUGCGAGAAUGAUCAACAUGUUCAACUCUUCUAAUCUCAUUGUACAUUUUCAAAGGAAAAGUGGCAACAUCACCCACAGCAUAUACAUCAGGUACACUUGUUUUGAAGAACGCAUCUGUCUUAAUUCCACCCUUCUCCUCUUCAACUUGCCCUUUGAAUAGAGUUGUGAGUGGUCUUGCUCCGACUCCUACGACUACUAUGUCAGCUUCCAAAACUCUGCCAUCUUUGAGUUUGACUUCCUUCACCUCUCCAUUUGGAUGGGUAUCAAACCCAACAGCAACUGUACCCUUGAUAAUAUUGACUCCCUUGUUUUUAUAAUAACCUUCAUAGAAUGCAGCUAUGCCCUCUGUGAAAAGCCGAGGCAUGCACCAUGGUUCUGGGUAAACCAUAUUGACUUCAAUGUUGUUCAGUCUCAGUACAGCACUGAGCUCGAGACCGAUGUACCCUCCCCCAACAACAACAGCUUUACCAUUUUUCUUAGCUUUUAAUGCUUCCACAAGUUGAUCAGCAUCAUCGAUUUCUCUCAAGUAAAAGAUAUUCUUGGAAUCAGCACCUUGUACACCAAAAUCUGACAACUUCAAAACGGUGGAUCCUGUUGCAAUAACAAGUGUUUGAUAUUUAAAAGAUUCCCCAGCUGCACUAACAAGAGUCUUUGAAGCAAGAUCUGCUUUCACUAUUUCAGUACUCAGGAUCAACGAAAUGCCUUUCUCUGCAUACCACUCAGGAAGCUGUCUCUCUCCUCCACUUCCAACACACACAUGAAAUCCUGGGAGUCUAGCAGCUCCUUCAGGAAAAAGGUAUGCCUUGCUAAGUGCAGGACGUUCAUAAGGAGCCACUGCCUCUUUGGAAAUAAUAGCCAGUUCCCCAGGCUUAACUCCCUGUUUGGCAAAUUCUCUAGCAGCAUACCCAGCAGAAACACCGCCACCGACGAUCACAUACUUGAAUGAUUUCUCCGCCAUUGAUGAACUUUCACAGUGAAAAUAGUUAGAGCUUUUUUGGU
rnacentral:misc_RNA from 1 species